rnacentral:lncRNA from 10 species
CUUCACUCCUCUGUGGAGAGAGACACAGGGAUUCCUGACCAAGCUGCCAUGGAUCCUUCCCUCCUCCAGGUCUGCUAACUCCAGGCCCUCCCUGUCCAGCCACGUUGUCUGGAGGCCACCUGGCAGUCUCAUCUGGGUUGGGAGGCGUGGGGUCUCAGAGCGGGAGGAGAGAACCUCGUGGUGGGGGGAGCUAGCAGUGAGGGAGUGGGCUGUGGGGAGUCUGGGUCCCACCCCCGGGACUCUGUCAGUGGCAGGGUAGGGGUACCCAGAGCCAUGGCAGGAACCACCCCCUGCCCGCCCCCGACUAGAGGCUCAGCUUCCCUGCGUGCACCUAGCUCAGGAAGCCUUCCUUUCUAGUCUCUACAGCUGUUUCCCUCUUUUCCCAUCUCAUUCUUCCCUCUUCAUUUCUGGCCUAUCUUUUAACAUCUCCAUCCCUUUGAUGCCUCAUCCAUCUCCUCUUCACCGUCUUGUCUUUGCCUGUUCCCUUUUCUGCUUCUCUGCUCCUCUUAAGGCUGGGUUUUCCUCCUGCGUCUCCUCUGUGCGCCUGUGAGUGUCCCCUGUCUGCUCAUCCUCUCUCCCUCUGUCCACCUGUUUCUCUUUCUUCCAGCGUUUCUCCAUCUCACGCGCUGCCUCUGUCAUUUUCUCUCUUUCUUCGUCUUUCUCUCUCUCUCAUUGUUCUGAGACAUAGCAGUGCCUGGCCCAGCGGGGACAACAUGUUUCACAGACAAAUCAUCCAACAAAAGAGAGGAGGAACGUGCUUCAGUAACUCUGGACUUGGCCAUGUGACUUUCUUGGGCCAAUGGGACAUGAGCAAGCAUGAUACCAGCAGGGAUUUGAUUCUUCCUCCACCUCAGCUGAAAGGAUUCAUCUUGCAGCACGGCCCACCUUGGAACCCUUUGUGUUUGCUGAAACUUUCUUUGUGAUUAUUCUUAUGUCACUGCAUAGCAUGUAAAUGUAUCACACCCCCCCCCCACCCAUUAUUAUUAUCUCCUAGUAUGCACCAGGCACUGGCCAUAAAUUAUUUCUAAUCAUCAUUAAAACUCUACCACGGUUAUCCUCCCUCUAUGGAUAGGAAAACUAAGGCUUGGAGGUUGAAGAGGUCAUGGAUCUUGUCCAAGGUCACUAAACUCAUAAAUGUCACAGUCAAAAUUUGAAUCUAGAUAGAGUUGUCAGCUCCAAAGAAGUUUGCUCAGUCAGUUCUUCCCCAAAUUAGCUUUUUAUCCAAAUUUGCUGAGAAGCUUUUUAAAAAUACAUCUUCUUUACAACAAAGCCAGAGAAAGAAUAAGGCAGCUCUCUGCACAACAAUAUGGUGCUCGUAUAUGCCUAGAACAUCUCCAGGAAGAAGCCAGAUUUCUUGAGCCCCAUACCUGCCAAUGAGCCAGCACUACCCAAGGACUCAGCCUCUGUGUCCUGUGGACCUGCAACAGCUUAGAGGCCAUCCCCAUGCUCAGGCCUUGCCACCACAUGCCUGGAUCUGCCACUCCUCAGCCCCUACCCUCAAGCCCCAGAGCCCUCAGCCCCCAAGGGCCGGUACAGGACCAGGUCAGCCUGUCCUCAUUACAUCAGCAGGGUGAGCCAAGGGAGGUUGCCUAAAAAUUCAACUGGCUGUCCCCAUGCCUUCUGCUCCCGCUUCUGGAAGGGAAGACAGGGCAGGGACCAUGUCCAGCUGCAGAAAAUCCCAGUGUUUUUCUGUGGCAUUGCCUGGUAAAGGCUGAACGUGGCUUUCGUGAGAGCUAAUCUGCCUGCCCAACCAGAUUGUGCUGUGGCUAAAAUUGCUGUGAGCUCGACAGUGCCUGAAGACUGGAGAAAACUGAGCCAUGUCUUGGAUGCUCUUGCGGGGCCUAGGGGAGUGCCAGGCCAGAAGGAGAACUGCCUGUGGACUCUCAGUAGGAAAGCAGCUAACGAGGUGAUGAGUGAGUGUCGCCUGGAAGUCUGGGGGCCAUUCCAUGUGGGUCACAUCGCCUGACCAGAGGGUUGGGUGCCUGGACAGGGCUGAGCUUGGGACUCCUUCCAGGGCCUGGCCUCAGCUGCUGGGCCUGCCGAGCAUGCCCCACAAGCACCCACGCACACAUACAAGUAUGGAGGCAGAGUGGAAGUUUGACUUUUGCAGAUCUCGUACAGCCUGGAGUAGAGAAGAGAAUUGGGAACUCUCAAUGUUGUGUGACCCUAGGCAAGUCCCUUCCCUGCCUUGUGCCUCAGUUUCCCUUUACAUACCAUGAGGAUGUUCCCAGUGUUGGUGUUUUAAUGCCUGCAGACAAGCUAAGCUCAUCAUCUGGUUCCCGGAAGAGAUCCUCCUUUUGUGGAAAGGCCACAGCCACUCUGCCACCCUGAGGCUCCCACUCCUCCUUCUCUGGAACCCUCUCCCUUGCCUGUAGGUCACGGGAAUGUCAAGAGCACCCAGGGAAGUGCCUGCUGCCAGUCAUCACUCACUGAUUAUGUGACAGCAGAGGAGCCAAGAAGCUGCUGGGAAUCGAGACACCCCCCCAUUCAGUCCCCACCAUCUCUGUCUUCAUGAGGUUCCCUGGGAGAAGCUCCUAUGUCUGGGAAUGGAAAUGUCUCCACCUGGAUAGGGACAAACAGGAGCUGGGGGCUGCAUCUUAAGACUUCUUGUCCCAUUAGUGCUGACCUCUGGAGACGGCUCCUGAAUUGUGCCCACUCCCCCACCUCCUCACCACACACAUGCUCUGGGCCGUGCGAGGCUCAGCUUGUCACGGACAAGCUAAAAUGAGGUGGCCUGAAUGCCCCUUAUCAUAGACAGCUUAUCUCCUGUGGUCACUCACCUGACAGACUCCAGAGAGCCACUCAGCGGGCCUCUCCCAGCCGCCUGCUUCUCAGCUCUGACUCUCCCUUGCCUUAAGGGGACACUGGAUUCCAGUGACCCUCCUAUUGGUCAGAGUUGGGCUGAGCACAGAGAAGGGGUAGAAUGCUCCUGGGAACUCGGAAAGCUCUGGGAUGCCAGCUUUUCCCACAUGUUCUCACUCACCCCUCUGUAAUACAGAUUCUGCAGCCCUGCCCCCCACACACACACUCCUACACCUCUGCUCUCAAAGUGAAGAAGUAGGCUAAUAUCUGUGGUACAUUUAUUUACCUACUCCCUGAGACUGCAGCUCCCUUAGUCAGUGUUGUGUCCUCCACUCAGGCUGGGGCUCCCUGAGGAUGGGGCUGUGUCUCCCCUCAGACUGGGGUUCCCCAAGGACAGGGCUGUGUCUCUCCUUAGGCUGGGGUCCCUGAGGGUGGGGCUGUGUCUCCCUGCAGAUUGGGGCUCCCUGAGGAUGGGGCUGUGUCUCCCUGAAGACUGGGGCUCCCUGAGGACAGGGCUGUGUCUCCCCUCAGGCUGGGGCUCCUUGAGGAUGGGACACUUUAAAGAAGAGAAAUUGACAGGUUGACCCUGGGGGAUCUUUGGGUCAAUAAAACAUUCUAUAGACCCUCAGUGGUCAGACUAGGAUGAUACCUUGA